rnacentral:sRNA from 1 species
CUGCUACCAAGUGAGUCCCAGGAAUGGAGCACCGGGGGACCGGCUUGGCAGUAGGUGGCUUUACCCACUGUGCUAGCCUCUCUCCACAUCCCUGGCACACCACAUUGACCACAGCAGGGCCUCCCUGGUAGUUUGACCAGCUUCUCCUGUGAUUUCAAAAUUCAGCUAAGUGCAUUCUGUCUUUACCGAGCCACAUCAAUAAAGCCUUCCUCCUUCCCUGCAUCUCUGUGUUCCCAAGGACUACAGGAACCACCGUAGACGCCAGUGCUGUCUGUUGCAUCAGUGGCUCACUGGGCCAGUAUUUAAAACAAACUCUGGAAGCAACACAGCCUUUCCCUUUUGUAAGUGUAACGUAGUUAAGAAGCCUGGGAGUGUGCAAGGGAUGCCAAAUCUGGAGUGGACAGCCCCGAUGACUUCAGCCCAUUCUCAGUUUCUGAUUACAAUUAGAUUUCCUUUGGCAUCGAAAGACUGUUCAUUUUAGUAAACAGUGCUCUUCCCUAGUAAGAGUGAUAUCUAGCUCCUUGGACCGGGACCUGCUCACUGGUGAGGCAGUGUGCCCAGGCUUCUUCAGAAAGAGCUGAAACGCUGACUUUUGAAGAUGGACACAAGGAGAGAGGCAGAAACACAGACCGGGCGAAGACGCACAGGGAGAUGAAACCGAGAUACUGUUUCCACUUCUUCCUACGCUCGCUGUGAUAUGGUAAAUUAUUCGGGGCAGGGAGAAGUCAGCAGAAGGCAGGAAGACAAGGCAGGACAGGCCAGCAGAGGAUAAAAACACGAGAACGCGGUUUUGAAAACAGCCUUUCUCCAAGGCGAAGGCUGACUGACUCAGUGAACAGACUACCCUCCCGUAGAAGCUAAAGAUGACAUGAGUCGCAGAGGACCAUAAUUUGCAAAAAAAAAAAUCAUCGUAUGAAGUAAUUAAUGUAAGCAUGGGUAAGUUUCCAGGAUUAAGACUUUGAUCUGACAAGCAGAAGAAGUGGAGUAAGGCUGGCACGGGUGUGCUGUGGCCUUAAGACUUCAAAUGUUUUUCCAUGCUAGUCAAAAUUUAAUUACUUCUCCCCCACCCUCCGCCACUGACAGUUCCAAAUUAAAAUAAAUGGACCAUGUCGAGACAAAUCUCGGAUGCAUGUAGUGCUUGAGAAAAUGCUGCUGCUCGCCCAUGGACAGCCUGAGACUCUCCUAAUAAAUUCCCUUCCUUCUUCUUGGGAUGGUAAGGGAAUUGAGGGGCAGGGCUUGGUGUUGAAAUAAAGAAACAGGCUCGGAUCUAGUGUGUUUUGCAGGGUUGUUCCCACAGGAAUGCUCUUCUCCUAUAUGUUCUCUGUGCACUGAUCUUACAAGGUUUGGGGGAAGUGGGAUAGACAAAUGCCCUGUGGUCACCCAAUGUAUUAAGCUAAUUCCUUUCUAAGUGCAGGUAGAUUGGUUUUUACUUAGUGACAACCAUCAACUCUGUUAUAGAUUAAUGAGGGUUUGAUAGCCCAGUUGGACCUCGUACGGCCACACAUUUGCUAUCAUUGUAACAGAGGCGGCUCCUUGUCACCUGAGGCAAGGAAGCAAUUCACUCGACAUGAGUCUGUCCUCUUCAAGACGAGGCCUGGGGAGUCCCGGAGACCUGCCUUCUCAUCUCUGCAGCUCUGAAGCAUUUGCUGAGCAUUCCCACCUUCCCAAAACCCAUCGUUUAGAGAACUCGCUUGUCAUUGGCUUCUUGUUUUGAAGUCCCAGUUCCUGGUAUUUUCCUCAGACUCAUUGUACCUCUCAAGACUGAGUGGGAAAGUAUCAGGCAGGCACCAUGGCAGUAAACAGGAAGCCAGUGGCCCCUUGGAACCAUGAAUGCUGCCCUCUGUGUUUGGUCUUGGGAAGUAGAGAUAAGAAGGUACACAAAUUCGGUCAUGUGUCUGUGGCAAUUCAAACAAAUAAUGAGUCUCACAAAUAGGAAACCAUAAGCACUCAGACACACUGGAAUUAAUGAAGAACUCUUUUCCUAGUGAUGCCACUCUGGCUUGAGAAAAUUACCUGGAAGCUUCCGGUAGUCACAGCGAACCAACAGUGAGGAGCGUCUCUGCUGUUCUUGUCAUCAGUUCCUUCUCCAUCCAGAGCUGUUUCAGAAAAUCCGCUCUAGCCUCCUCCAACCUGUCUGUACAGAGGCCAAUUCUACCUUCAUGCUGAGGAUCAAAGCAAGAAUGGGGGAGAAGAAGCCGGACGGUUCCUCACAACUGGAGCCUUCCUUUUGUCCUUGCCUAGACUCCCGAGAAGGCAGGGAGCCACAGGUCCUUCCAUCCCUUGGCUUCUCAUUCCAUCCCUCACAAGCCACUGCCACCCUCCCCUGAGCUCUGAGAGCACAGCUUUGCAUGUCUUCACGACUGGCUGAGUCACCUUUGGACACCAGCAAGGCUGUACCAUGUCUGAGUCGAUCCUGCGUGCUUCUCCACAGGUCCCUUCAAUACACUCUGGAGCACCGCCGCUAUCAGCAGCACGGCAGUUCCUUCCAACUCUAGUGUGAGACACGGUCUGUCCCCAUACCUUUCUAGAAGACCUAGGUGACCUUGUUUCCAUCUAUUCAGUGGACAGUUUGCCUAGUCUUGUGGCAUUGUCAACGUAAUCCUAAAUGCUCUGACACUAGACCUCGAUGAAAACCAAGGUCUCUGUGCUUCGUCACAACAUUGGCUAAUCUCACGACUCCUUGUCUUCUCCCUCAUGUGUUGGGAAUUCUAGUAAUUUGUCCUUCUCUGUGGUUUCUGGAAUUACAGCAACAAUUUCUAAAUCAAAUAAGACAUACUAUGUUGAGAUUUUGACUACAUUCGUAUUGAAUUUAGAGAUUCAAUAUCGUUUCAUUUUUUUUUGUAAUGUUAGCCCAACGACCUAAAACCAUCCUUUCCGUGGACUUCCCAGCUUCCUCUCUGAGCUCUCUUCCGAGACAAUCUUCGAAAGCAUCGCUGUUGCGCCCUCCAUACCUGGGCACGCUGGGCACCCAGGAUCUUCUUUCUGACUCGUGAACCACAAUAAGGCUGUAAGACAGGAACUGAGCUCUUACCUCAUGGUGGAGCUAGCAGGACAGGGUGGAGGCAGUGGAGAUCAGGCAUGGCAGCCACUGAGGUGGCAGGGAGAUGCAGAUCAUGGGGCCAGGCUCGUGGGAUAUCACUAAGUUGGAUGGCCAGCAUGACCAGGUAGCAAGGACGCCAACACCUUAUCUUCACCAACCACUGCCCAUAAGAGCUAACAACAACAGGAAGAGAGCAGGAUACACGGAGAACUCUUAAAACACUGUCCUAAGACCCAACAGCUCUCUGCUAAGCCUAUAAAUGAUGAGUGUGUGGUGCUCACAGCCUCAGGCUGUCUGCCCUUACCCAGGCUGCAUGACUUUCCUUCCUCCAAAGCAGCAAGCCGUUCCUGCAAGCAAACGGCAAAUGUGGGACCUGGGUGUGCACCAGUGAAGAAGGUAUUGUUCGUGGUCACAGUAUCACCCGGAGACGCCUGGGAACCAAACAGCGAUGCUGGUUUGUAUAGAGGGAGCAGAGAUGCUGGUUUGUAUAGAGGGAGCAGAGAUGCUAGGGAGGCCUGUGGGAGGUAAGGGGGUGCCGAGCAAUGCAGGUUAUUUGGUUUUAUUUGUUAGCUUCCUGUCUAAACUGUUGGCUGCAAAAAUUCCCCAAUUACAUUACGUGUCAGGGAACCUUGAUACACCUUAUGAUAUCCCUGGCAGCGUCUAGCUUUACUUAGCUUUUAAGUUGCUUUCCCCAGAAAAGUUUUCUUCAUGGCCUGCAGCACCAUGUCAUUUUGAGGACCAAAAUCUACAGAGUUUGCACUGAGAGGGAGCACACGAAUAGAGAAAGUGACUCCAAGCAGCCUGAGUGAAGACAAGCCCUACAGUGAGCUCCUCUCGGUUCGAGUAUUUUAGAAUUGUUUCUACAAAGAAAAUGUCUC